rnacentral:rRNA from 1 species
AGGCGCGCCUAACACAUGCAAGUCGAACGAGCGAGAGAGAGCUUGCUUUCUCGAGCGAGUGGCGAACGGCUGAGUAACGCGUGAGGAACCUGCCUCAAAGAGGGGGACAACAGUUGGAAACGACUGCUAAUACCGCAUAAGCCCACGACCCGGCAUCGGGAAGAGGGAAAAGGAGCAAUCCGCUUUGAGAUGGCCUCGCGUCCGAUUAGCUAGUUGGUGAGGUAACGGCCCACCAAGGCAACGAUCGGUAGCCGGACUGAGAGGUUGAACGGCCACAUUGGGACUGAGACACGGCCCAGACUCCUACGGGAGGCAGCAGUGGGGAAUAUUGCACAAUGGGGGAAACCCUGAUGCAGCGACGCCGCGUGGAGGAAGAAGGUCUUCGGAUUGUAAACUCCUGUUGUUGAGGAAGAUAAUGACGGUACUCAACAAGGAAGUGACGGCUAACUACGUGCCAGCAGCCGCGGUAAAACGUAGGUCACAAGCGUUGUUCGGAAUUACUGGGUGUAAAGGGAGCGCAGGCGGGAAGACAAGUUGGAAGUGAAAUCCAUGGGCUCAACCCAUGAACUGCUUUCAAAACUGUUUUUCUUGAGUAGUGCAGAGGUAGGCGGAAUUCCCGGUGUAGCGGUGGAAUGCGUAGAUAUCGGGAGGAACACCAGUGGCGAAGGCGGCCUACUGGGCACCAACUGACGCUGAGGCUCGAAAGUGUGGGUAGCAAACAGGAUUAGAUACCCUGGUAGUCCACACCGUAAACGAUUGAUUACUAGGUGUUGGGGGGAUGGACCCCUUCAGUGCCGCAGUUAACACAAUAAGUAAUCCACUGGGGGAGUACGACCGCAAGGUUGAAACUCAAAGGAAUUGACGGGGGCCCGCACAAGCAGUGGAGUAUGUGGUUUAAUUCGACGCAACGCGAAGAACCUUACCAAGUCUUGACAUCCCUUGACGAUGCUGGAAACAGUAUUUCUCUUCGGAGCAAGGAGACAGGUGGUGCAUGGUUGUCGUCAGCUCGUGUCGUGAGAUGUUGGGUUAAGUCCCGCAACGAGCGCAACCCUUAUGGUCAGUUACUACGCAAGAGGACUCUGGCCAGACUGCCGUUGACAAAACGGAGGAAGGUGGGGAUGACGUCAAAUCAUCAUGCCCUUUAUGACUUGGGCUACACACGUACUACAAUGGCGUUAAACAAAGAGAAGCAAGACCGCGAGGUGGAGCAAAACUCAGAAACAACGUCCCAGUUCGGACUGCAGGCUGCAACCCGCCUGCACGAAGUCGGAAUUGCUAGUAAUCGUGGAUCAGCAUGCCACGGUGAAUACGUUCCCGGGCCUUGCACA